AAUUCUCAGGGGCCCUGCGCUGGCAGCCCGCUGGGGGCCCUUAGGCUUGCCCUAAGUGGGCCCAUAAAGGGCCACCGCAGGCUUGUUUGCAGGGAUGACUCUCUUAUCUGUCCC